AUUGAACGCUGGCGGCAGGCCUAACACAUGCAAGUCGAACGAGUGGCGGACGGGUGAGUAAUGUCUGGGAAACUGCCUGAUGGAGGGGGAUAACUACUGGAAACGGUAGCUAAUACCGCAUACCCUCAGAUGUGCCCAGAUGGGAGUAGCUAGUAGGUGGGGUAACGGCUCACCUAGGCGACGAUCCCUAGCUGGUCUGAGGUGAUGACCAGCCACACUGGAACUGAGACACUGUCCAGACUCCGACGGGAGGCAGCAGUGGGGAAUAUUGCACAAUGGGCGCAAGCCUGCUGCAGCCAUGCCGCGUGUAUGAAGAAGGCCUUCGGGUUGUAAAGUACUUUCAGCGGGGAGGCGUUACCCGCAGAAGAAGCACCGGCUAACUCCGUGCCAGCAGCCGCGGUAAUAC
rnacentral:rRNA from 1 species